GAUGAACGCUGGCGGCGUGCCUAAUACAUGCAAGUCGAGCGAACAGACGAGGAGCUUUCUCCUCGGACGUUAGCGGCGGACGGGUGAGUAACACGUGGAUAACCUACCUAUAAGACUGGGAUAACUUCGGGAAACCGGAGCUAAUACCGGAUAAGGUAGUGAACCGCAUGGUUCAAUAGUGAAAGACGGUGUUGCUGUCACUUAUAGAUUGAUCCGCGCCGCAUUAGCUAGUUGGUAAGGUAACGGCUUACCAAGGCAACGAUGCGUAGCCGACCUGAGAGGGUGAUCGGCCACACUGGAACUGAGACACGGUCCAGACUCCUACGGGAGGCAGCAGUAGGGAAUCUUCCGCAAUGGGCGAAAGCCUGACGGAGCAACGCCGCGUGAGUGAUGAAGGUCUUCGGAUCGUAAAACUCUGUUAUUAGGGAAGAACAAAUGUGUAAGUAACUAUGCACGUCUUGACGGUACCUAAUCAGAAAGCCACGGCUAACUACGUG
rnacentral:rRNA from 1 species